rfam:Scleropages formosus scaffold784, whole genome shotgun sequence.
GGGGGUAUAGCUCAGUGGUAGAGCAUUUGACUGCAGAUC